UACGUAGGGUGCAAGCGUUGUCCGGAAUUAUUGGGCGUAAAGAGCUCGUAGGCGGCUUGUCGCGUCGGCUGUGAAAACCUGGGGCUCAACCCCGAGCCUGCAGUGGAUACGGGCAGACUAGAGGUAGGUAGGGGAGAAUGGAAUUCCCGGUGUAGCGGUGAAAUGCGCAGAUAUCGGGAGGAACACCGGUGGCGAAGGCGGUUCUCUGGGCCUUACCUGACGCUGAGGAGCCGAAAGCGUGGGGAGCGAACAGG
rnacentral:rRNA from 1 species